UACGUAGGGUGCAAGCGUUGUCCGGAAUUAUUGGGCGUAAAGAGCUCGUAGGCGGUUUGUCGCGUCUGCUGUGAAAACUCGGGGCUUAACCCCGGGCCUGCAGUGGGUACGGGCAGACUAGAGUGCGGUAGGGGAGACUGGAAUUCCUGGUGUAGCGGUGAAAUGCGCAGAUAUCAGGAGGAACACCGAUGGCGAAGGCAGAUCUCUGGGCCGUAACUGACGCUGAGGAGCGAAAGCGUGGGGAGCGAACAGG
rnacentral:rRNA from 1 species